rnacentral:rRNA from 1 species
CAGUAGCGCGGUAAUACGUAGGGUGCAAGCGUUAAUCGGAAUUACUGGGCGUAAAGCGUGCGCAGGCGGUUCGGAAAGAAAGAUGUGAAAUCCCAGGGCUCAACCUUGGAACUGCAUUUUUAACUACCGGACUAGAGUAUGUCAGAGGGAGGUGGAAUUCCACGUGUAGCAGUGAAAUGCGUAGAUAUGUGGAGGAACACCGAUGGCGAAGGCAGCCUCCUGGGAUAAUACUGACGCUCAUGCACGAAAGCGUGGGGAGCAAACAGGAUUAGAUACCCGGGUAGUCCCUGUCUCUUAUACA